GGCCUGAUGGUCUAGUAGUAUGAUUCCUUGUUAGGGCUUGCAUGGUCUUUCGAGGAGGUCCCGGGUUCAAUUCCCGGUCAGGCCC